rnacentral:lncRNA from 1 species
GUUGUUUUGUUGUACUUAGGAACUGUUUUUAACGCUUUAUCCUAACUUACAUUGGAUUAUACCUAUAACACAUCUUUCAAGGAUUUACAUCCCUUGUGAAGUUGCUUGAAAGUAUAAAUUUUUUUUUUGACUUUUUUGCCGGCAUUUUGAAACCGGAAGUCACCUUUAGUUUCAUUAAUGUAUUGUCUAGUCGUAAUUUAGGAACUGUCAUUUACUUUUUAUCAAAUCUAACAUUGGAUUUUACAUAUAACACACCUUUCAAAGGAUUAACGAAUUAUUGCCAAUUUGUAAUGACGCCAUUUCCGAAAUGUGUGGUGGCCAUUUGAAAAAAUGAAUAUUUUUUUUCUGGCCAGCAGCGGAUUUUUUUUAAGUAUCAUUUAGUCAACCUUUAUACCAAAUUUCAUGCUUGUAUCACGAUUUGCACAAUUAUGUCCAUAAUAUCUCCCACUAGGAGAGAAAACUUUAUUUACGUACAAAAAGGGAUCAUCGUUUUGUCUGUACACGUGAUUGAAGUUUUCACCAUCGUCGUAAUCGACCACAUCGACGUGUGCGUCAUAUUCUUGUCUAUCUACAACUCAUUAAGAUAGAUUCAUGGUAAACCGCAAAUAUUUUGGCAAAGCACACGCACAUUUGAAAAUGUAUUUUUAGGCUUGUGUCUGAUUUUUCAAUAUUUUAUAUUUUUUGUUAUUUUCAAUUUCAUUUUCAAAUGAAUUUUUAACACUCCGAUAAAGACGUUCUUGAAUGACUCUGACAUAUUAAGGUGGUACCCAAAACUUUAACUAAAAUUAAUUUGGCUCGUUUAAUUUUCUUAAAAUUUUUACAAAGAAUUUACUUUGACCCUUUUACAAAAAUAUAAAAAUUUCAAAAAAUUUGAACCAACCGUUUUAUCAGAAAAAUUACACUGGUUAUAUAGCAGUUUGACAAACACUUAUUUUGAUCAUUGAGAAGCUUAAUAUUCCCGUAACAACACAACGUAAUUAAAACGUUUAGCUGAUUUUACAGAGUUAUCUCCCUGUAGUGUUAGGUACCACCUUAAUUAACUUGUAUCCAUUGCAAUACUUACUUCCAACAAAAAUUACCUCGAGGUUAUAAAUGCCAUAUCAUUAUAUAGAAGUAUUGGUAAUAUGUAAGUUAUUGCAUCUAAAUCAUUCUAUAGCAAACAUUAUAGGGAGAAACAAAACGAGGGUGCAAAUGAUAUAAAGUGAAGAUAAAAAAAAUUAUUCUCUAUUGAUAUUAUUUUAGUAGGUUUCUCUAUAUGAAUUGGAUUUUGAAUAAAAAAGCAUAUUCACCUGAGAAAGUGUUAUUCACCGCACUAAACGUCACGCGCGUUUACAUGCAACGUUAUGGUAAAAUGUUGAAUGUAAAAAAAAAUGGUAUAUGUUUGUCAUUAGAUACAUUUUCUUCUCUCGGACUAUGGAAUAAAACAAUUACUGUCUUUUGUUUCGGUAAAUAUGGGGUUUUAUUGACUUUUGAAAAACUGAUAUUCACUUCGGCCGUCGGCCUCAGUGAAUAUCAUUUUUUCAAAAGUCAAUAAAACCGCAUAUUUACCUCAUCAAAAGACAGUAAUUGUAUAAUAUUACAAAGGAA